UUGUCAGUUGUUUUAUGUGAUUACAGUAAAGAUAUGUGCCUACAAAUCAUUCCUUAUCGUUGUCAUAGAGUCAAUAAGGCUAAUGUAUAAACUAAGGAUUUUAUGAAAAGUCUCAGUAUGAAUAAGAAAUAUGUUACAAGUAAUGCAACCUUCCUUAUUUCUACCUCUUUCAGGACUAAAUGAUUUGAUCCAUUAAGAUUCCACUAUGCUCACAUGAAGUAAUAUGUUUACAUAUCCUUAUCUCUCUUAUGCUCACAUGUUUCCAGACCUACGACAUCACGCCAGGAAAGAGUCUUGCCUUCAAGUCUCACAAUCCGGACGUUUGCCAAAAGGGGAAAGUUUUGCCUUCAAGUCUCACAAUUCGGACGUUUGCCAAAAGAGAAAUUGAGAAUACAAACACAACAAAGAUUGCAAGAAAGGUGUGUAAAUUAACACUCGCUGGGAAAAUUUACGUUUUUGCAAUUUGUCAACUUAAAAUGGAUCCCGCACUCCUUAAUGCUGGAAGUUUCUGGUGGAGAACGGCGCGCACGAGUUAUACUAAUUUAAGCCACCAAAUUUUUCUUUGGUUAUAGCGUCAAAGAGUACAUCGAUUCAACCUCUGUAAAGAAGGAAGAAAGUAAGAACUACCGCAAGUUGAAUAGGAAUAUUCAGAUGGUACUUUUCCAAGCGUUUCCACCAAUUCGUUUGACCAUCUAUAUAAUGAAUC